CAUCUAAAUAUCACAACCUCUAUCUGUCUGUCUCUCUGUCUGUUCUAUCUAUCUAUAUCUAUUAAUAUUCUAUACUGAAACUCAAUCUCUCUAAAACUGAGCUCCUUGUCUUCUCCCCUCUUAAUACUGAUCCUCCUCUUUCACUCUCCUUUCAAGUUAUUGAUACACACAUAAGUCCAUCCUUGCAAGCGUGCUGUCUUUGCAUUAUACUUGACUCUGGACUCACAUUUGAGCCUCGCAUCUAGUAGGUCAACAAAUCUUGUCGAUUGCACCUUAAAAACAUGAUAGCAUCUGCCCCUUUCUUAUGCAAGAUACUAUCAAGGAGCUUGUCCAUGCUCUAGUAAUCUCUCCUAAUUGGUCUUCCCAGAAACCACAUUGCCCCCUCUACAGUCUGUAAUGAAUGCUGCCACCAGACUGAUUUUCCUCUCCAGUCGCUCCUCUCACACCUCUCCCCUCUGUCAGUCAUGACAUUGGCUUCCUAUAUCUUAUAUGAGUCAAUUCAAAGUACUAAUCCAUAACUAUAAAUCACUGAACAAUUCUAGCCCCUCUUAUAUCUCUUCACUAAUCCACAAGUAUUAUGUCUCUCUGCUCUGCCAAUGACUUUCUUCUGUUCACUGCUCGCAUCCUUACAGCCAACUCACGCUUGCAGGACUUCUCGCGGGUUGCGCCCUUCCUUUGGAAUAGUCUGCCUACCACCAUCAGACUCUCCCCUAGUCUUCAAUCGUUUAAAAAGUUUCUUAAGACCCAUCUAUUCAGGAAAGCUUAUGGCCUCCCAAAGUAACUCCUACGUCACAUACCUGUCCCUUGCUCUCUCCUAAAGGGCAGCACUCUACUCUCUCCUCCA